CAGCAGCCGCCGCGGGAAUACGUAGGGUGCAAGCGUUAAUCGGAAUUACUGGGCGUAAAGCGUGCGCAGGCGGUUAUAUAAGACAGAUGUGAAAUCCCCGGGCUCAACCUGGGAACUGCAUUUGUGACUGUAUAGCUAGAGUACGGCAGAGGGGGAUGGAAUUCCGCGUGUAGCAGUGAAAUGCGUAGAUAUGCGGAGGAACACCGAUGGCGAAGGCAAUCCCCUGGGCCUGUACUGACGCUCAUGCACGAAAGCGUGGGGAGCAAACAGGAUUAGAUACCCCAGUAGUCCCUGUCUCUUAUAC
rnacentral:rRNA from 1 species